UUCCAAGCAGUUGACCCGGGUUCG
rnacentral:piRNA from 4 species